CUGGUGAUUCUGAUUAAGCCGUUUUAGAGCGGAGCCCCUGAAUCUCCUUGACUCCAUCCUACCCGGAAGAGCAGAUAUCCCGUAAGUGCCAAGUUUCUUCCGCUGUCUGCAGCUGACCGUGAUGUCUUCUAGCUGGCAGCCCACCCUCUCCCACAGACCCCCAGCCAAAUCCCCAAGGCCUCAGUGUCACCCGAGUUCCAGGAUGGCAGAAGCCAAGGACUCUGCCAUACCAUCUUUUUUGGCUUCCAGUUUCUCUGCUGCCAAGAAACGUGAAUUGGAGAUUGUAAAAUGAAGAUGUGCUGAUGUGCCACUCCCAACAAUGACAGUGGACCUGCCGUCUUGCUCCCAGCUCCCCGUCUAUACUUCCAUCUUCUCUGUUGGAAGGUACAGGAACCAUCGAUUUGCUCAGCUAUUUGUUAAAAAUGAAAGAAUGACUUUAUUCCGGUGAGCUGGAAGCCAAGAGCCCUGGCAUGCCAUGAAGAAUUUCAGCAUCUUUUAGGCCCUAGGAAGUACGAGCCAAGACCCA
rnacentral:lncRNA from 1 species